GCCGGGCAUGGUGGCGCGUGCCUGUAAUCCCAGCUACUUGAGAGGCUGAGGUGGGAGAUUCACUUGAACCCAGGAGGCGGAGGUUGCAGUGAGCUGAGACGGCGCCACUGCACUCCAGCCUGGGCAAAAGAGUGAGACUCUGUCUCAA
rnacentral:SRP_RNA from 1 species